rnacentral:tRNA from 1 species
UGGCUUAGAGGUUAAAGUGUGUGCUAUGCAAGCAUAAGGACCUGAGUUCAAAUCCCAG